AGCAGCCGCGGUAAUUCCAGCUCCAAUAGCGUAUAUUAAAGUUGUUGCAGUUAAAAAGCUCGUAGUUGAAUUUCGGGAUCAAUAUGUUGGUCGUGCCUUGGUACGUACUGGCAUUAUUGGUUUCUACCUUCUGAAGAACCUCGAUGUCAUUAAUUUGGUGUCUUGGGGAAUCAGGACUGUUACUUUGAAAAAAUUAGAGUGUUUAAAGCAGGCUCGCGCUUGAAUACAUUAGCAUGGAAUAAUGAAAUAGGACGUUUGAUUCUAUUUUGUUGGUUUCUAGGAUCGACGUAAUGAUUAAUAGGGAUAGUUGGGGGCAUUAGUAUUCAAUUGUCAGAGGUGAAAUUCUUGGAUUUAUUGAAGACUAACUACUGCGAAAGCAUUUGCCAAGGAUGUUUUCAUUAAUCAAGAACGAAAGUUAGGGGAUCGAAGACGAUCAGAUACCGUCGUAGUCUUAACCAUAAACUAUGCCGACUAGGGAUCGGAUGAUGU
rnacentral:rRNA from 1 species